rnacentral:lncRNA from 1 species
ACUCAUGUCCCUUAGCAUGCGUCGUGGAGUACCCAUCAACUGUCUUUAUGGUCAUCCAGUUACGGACAACGUUUGAUCAGCAAUAAGGCACUCGACUCUAACAUCUAGGGUCCAUAGUUGGUUUCAGGUCGAAGGUGGUAUACACCAUUAUCACCAUGAGAAUAACUUAUGACACUUUGCAUAACAUUUUAUACAGUAUUCUCAUAGCGGGUCAAUCCCGUAUAAAUAUUGCUCUUAAUAUGCAAUACUAUGUUUGAGACUUGAUAACUCUUAUCCAUGAUCCAUGAGAUGUGAUCAUCAGUCUAUAAAACAUAAUAGUCUUCAUGGCUUUAAUGUUAUCCCACUUCACAAUAAAGCUUCGACUACGGAUACUUUAAGAAUAGUGUCCUUAUGUUUAAUGUGCUCUCAUGAUUAAGUCACACUUGAUACAUUAAACAGACUAUCUAUUCCAGGGACUUUAUUAAACAAACAUAAUAAAGAAAAAACCUUUUAUUAUUAAUAAACAAUUCGAUACAAGUAUCAAAAGUAUUGGCCUCUAGGGCUUACACCAACAGAAACAUUGUCUGCUUGGUCCAACUAAUAAACUUCACCUAAAUCUAAACACUUUAAGAAAAAUGCUAUCAAUGAUAACAACCAACUCGUUGAAAUUGUGUGAGUAAAUAUGUAGGUUGAUGUGAGCCAUAAUUCAAUCUUGUUUUAAUCUAGCUUCACUCUUAUUCAAAAAUUAAUUCAUAUAUGAACUUUAGAAAAUACUACCAUUAAGAAAGUGACUUUUUAUGAAAUACAUAUCAGUGGAAACAUAAUUUGAUUUAAACACUCACUCCCAGUCAAUUUGAUUGCACCGAAAUUAUGCCAUGGUUGUGCGAUACGUAAAAGUGUAAAGAAUUUACAAAGACAUAUAUAUUAAUGAUAGUAAUAUAUAAUAAUUAUAAGAAAUAAAAAGGAAAAGAAAAGUGGAAAUAAAAAACAAAAUUUUGAGUCCAACUAAAACACUUCAAAAAAACAAAACAAAACAACUACUUCAGAAACUCAUAAAACCUUGAUUCCCUUCUUCUAC